GUGAUAGUUUCAUUUGAUAUUUAAGUACGAGAGGUCGUUUCAGAUAUAAGUACCUUUUUUAAGAUUUUGAUAAAAUGAAGUUGUUGGUUUGCAGUUUUUUACUAUUGGUGGUUUUGGAAGAAUAUCAUUGUAAGCCGCACUUUACCCACGCAAUUUUAAAAGCAAUAGGAAGAAAUGAUAAACACCCUCGUACAUACAUUCUACCUGUAUAUGUUCCUGUAGCGCCACUCCAGUAUCCUUCAAGUAGUUAUAAUCCUUACAAUCGGCACCCCUCGUACCCUCCGAAUAAUGGACCUGUGGAUGAUGGAAUAUGGCGAGGGAAUUCGUACCAGGGACAAUACAGUUAUUUACAGCAUCCUGCAUAUAACUCAUACCAGAAUGGUUUACCGAAUGCCAUGAGUUCACCGUAUGGCAGCCCGACUUCAAACUAUGGCACCCCGUCUUCAACGAAUGUUACCCCGUAUUUCACGAAUGGUACACCGAAUCAAUUUAAUGGAUCUCCGUAUUUAGCGAACCCAAACCAAAUUCAUGGUACUCCUUAUUCAACGAACUCAAACCAAUUUAUUGGUUCCCAGUAUUCAACGAACCCAAACCAAGUUAAUCGUACUCCGUAUUCAAUGAAUGGUACACCAAACCAAAUAAAUGGUUCCCCGUAUUCAGCGAACCCAAACCAAAUAAAUAGUUCCCCGUAUUCAGCGAACCCAAACCAAAUAAAUGGUACUCCUUAUUCAACGAACCCAAACCAAGUUAACAAUACUCCUUAUUCAACGAACCCAAACCAAGUUAACAAUACUCCUUAUUCAACGAACCCAAACCAAGUUAACAAUACUCCGUAUUCAACGAACCCAAACCAAAUUAACAAUACUCCGUAUUCAACGAACCCGAACCAAAUUAAUGGUACUCCGUAUUCAACGAAUGUCAUACCUUCAACUACUCCAUCUGUGAAAGUCGUUUAAGCACUGUUAAAUUAAAGGUAAAAAAUAAUAAUAUGUAUCAAAUUGUAAUAUUGUUUUGUGUAAUAAAGAGGAACCUUUUUUUUGUUUUCUUAUCUGUACCCUAAAGGCUUCGAAACUACUGAUCCCAUUUGAAAAAAUCUUUCACCAAGUCAAAGUUUAUUUCAUUUAGGCCUU